rnacentral:rRNA from 1 species
AACCUGCCCUUCACUCUGGGAUAACGCUGGGAAACCGGUGCUAAUACUGGAUAUGACCUACUCGGGCAUCCGAUGUGGGUGGAAAGAUUUAUUGGUGGGGGAUGGACUCGCGGCCUAUCAGCUUGUUGGUGAGGUAAUGGCUCACCAAGGCGACGACGGGUAGCCGGCCUGAGAGGGCGAUCGGCCACACUGGGACUGAGACACGGCCCAGACUCCUACGGGAGGCAGCAGUGGGGAAUAUUGCACAAUGGGCGAAAGCCUGAUGCAGCGACGCCGCGUGAGG